GACGAACGCUGGCGGCGUGCCUAAUACAUGCAAGUCGAGCGAGCUUGCUUAGAUGAAUUUGGUGCUUGCACCAAAUGAAACUAGAUACAAGCGAGCGGCGGACGGGUGAGUAACACGUGGGUAACCUGCCCAGAGACUGGGAUAACACCUGGAAACAGAUGCUAAUACCGGAUAACAACACUAGACGCAUGUCUAGAGUUUAAAAGAUGGUUCUGCUAUCACUCUUGGAUGGACCUGCGGUGCGUUAGCUAGUUGGUAAGGUAACGGCUUACCAAGGCAAUGAUGCAUAGCCGAGUUGAGAGACUGAUCGGCCACAUUGGGACUGAGACACGGCCCAAACUCCUACGGGAGGCAGCAGUAGGGAAUCUUCCACAAUGGACGCAAGUCUGAUGGAGCAACGCCGCGUGAGUGAAGAAGGGUUUCGGCUCGUAAAGCUCUGUUGGUAGUGAAGAAAGAUAGAGGUAGUAACUGGCCUUUAUUUGACGGUAAUUACUUAGAAAGUCACGGCUAACUACGUGCCAGCAGCCGCGGUAAUACGUAGGUGGCAAGCGUUGUCCGGAUUUAUUGGGCGUAAAGCGAGUGCAGGCGGUUCAAUAAGUCUGAUGUGAAAGCCUUCGGCUCAACCGGAGAAUUGCAUCAGAAACUGUUGAACUUGAGUGCAGAAGAGGAGAGCGGAACUCCAUGUGUAGCGGUGGAAUGCGUAGAUAUAUGGAAGAACACCAGUGGCGAAGGCGGCUCUCUGGUCUGCAACUAACGCUGAGGCUCGAAAGCAUGGGUAGCGAACAGGAUUAGAUACCCUGGUAGUCCAUGCCGUAAACGAUGAGUGCUAAGUGUUGGGAGGUUUCCGCCUCUCAGUGCUGCAGCUAACGCAUUAAGCACUCCGCCUGGGGAGUACGACCGCAAGGUUGAAACUCAAAGGAAUUGACGGGGGCCCGCACAAGCGGUGGAGCAUGUGGUUUAAUUCGAAGCAACGCGAAGAACCUUACCAGGUCUUGACAUCCCUCUGACCGCUCUAGAGAUAGAGUUUUCCUUCGGGACAGAGGUGACAGGUGGUGCAUGGUUGUCGUCAGCUCGUGUCGUGAGAUGUUGGGUUAAGUCCCGCAACGAGCGCAACCCCUAUUGUUAGUUGCCAUCAUUUAGUUGGGCACUCUAGCGAGACUGCCGGUAAUAAACCGGAGGAAGGUGGGGAUGACGUCAAAUCAUCAUGCCCCUUAUGACCUGGGCUACACACGUGCUACAAUGGCUGGUACAACGAGUCGCAAGUCGGUGACGGCAAGCUAAUCUCUUAAAGCCAGUCUCAGUUCGGAUUGUAGGCUGCAACUCGCCUACAUGAAGUCGGAAUCGCUAGUAAUCGCGGAUCAGCACGCCGCGGUGAAUACGUUCCCGGGCCU
rnacentral:rRNA from 1 species